AUAUACAUUCUUAAAUUGAAGAUGUUGAUAUACACAUGCCACUACGGGUUCUUCAUCAAAAUCACACAUAGCCUGAUCGUGUCUCGUGUUCACUUGAUGGUGUGGCCUCGACGAAAUGCUAGGCUGGCUCAAGUGCCCGCAUGGCUGUGAAGGAAACAUGUGGGUACAAAUGAAAUUGAGUCCAGGUCUGAAGAUGACCAUGACAUGACGGUAUGUAAUGUACUGACUAUUGCUACACAUAAACUCACUUGACAUGAAUUGAAAUUUCUGGUAUCACCAUCUUCUCUUGAGGAUAUUAUUGCCUUUCGAGUUUAUUGGUAUCACUAUCUUCUCUUGGCUAUUAUUUAAUUUUUAUCUCAUGUUCACCAUGUUACGUGAAACAAGGAACGCGAUGGUAUUACUAUUUUUUCUGCAGAAUGAUUUUGCUCCAAAGAAACUCUGGUAAUCAUGAGUUUAUUAUAUGCGCCUCCUAGAAGAUAGCAGCCACCCGUGGACGAGAAGGUGUCACAUAAAGAUGACAGCAACUCAGCAAGUGCUCUGGCUCCUUCGGUCCAUGCUGAAAAACCAACGAAUAAGCAUCCUCCUCCUGUAAAGACCACAGCUGGGGUCUAAAGCAUACUAAAUUUACAAAUUUGGUCAUUAGGUGUUUGCCUUUGGAAGUAUAGGCAUCUGACAGUGAGCAUGAAGCACGGACUUUUGAAGGAAUUGCAUUGCACAAUGCUUAUGCGUUCAUAUUAAAUUACUGAGAGAAAAAGCUGCACCAAUUCAUCCUCAAUAUAAACAUCUAGGUGAUAGUUCAGCUGCUGUUUUCAGACGUGGGAUGGUAACUUCAGAACUUAUAAUUACAGUACAGGGGUAGGUUACUGGUAGCAUGCUCAGGCAAGAUGCUAGGUAUAGAUUAAAUAAUUGUUUUCGAAAUGUCCCUAGUCAAGUGACUACAUAAGUUAUAUGAUCGCCUGGUAUAUUUAAAUUCUGCCUGAUGCCAUUUUUCUUAGUCUGCCAAUGUAGAACAGGCAACCUAUUCUAUUCUAUGGGUUCUAAGGCUCCUGUGUUAACAUUCAGAUGAGGUGAGAAUAAUUUAAUCUGGGCAGACCGCGAGGUGUUGCACUUGGUACAUCUGUUGCUCAAUGGGCUGUUAAUUCCAAUGCGUGUGGUCUCAUUCCACAUCACGGAAAAGGAAAACAAAUUCUUCUGAAAACAUAUCAUUCUCCAACAGGGAUUUUUUUUUCCUCCAUAUUGUAUUGCGGUGCAUGUAUUGGGAACUGGAGAGCACACAGGUUCUUCUUCCGUCGUUAUUGAGGAACUGGAGAGCAGUGGAAAAAUGCGAAGCUUCUGUUCAUCGAUUGAUUUCUUUUUUGCUAAGUGGGUUAGGUGGCGACACCAGCUUCAAGCAAUUAUGUUUAAGUUCAGUGUUGAUGCGCGAGAUGAGAACUGUGCAGCCCACAUGAGAAUAAUUU